UCUCUUAGCCUGGCAACGCUCAUGUUCAUGAUGCUGCAUCGCUGUCACAGUGCACGAGCCAUGUGCUGGGCCCAGUUGGCAUAGCCCACCAUGCAACUGGAAGGCCCGGGUGCCAGUUCCCUGGACAGAAUCGUGGAAAUGCCUUUGCUAUGGAAACCGAGAUCUGGAUUCCGGAGCACCUGCAGGUACUCUACCAUUCAAAGAGAAGAGAAAAUGGGUCCCUGCAGGUGUUAGUAGCUGACGUGUCCAGUACUGUCUGCUUUCUUUAUGGAGGCUUUGAACCUGGAGAUCAGCUCUUUCCCUGAACCAUCGCUCAACCGUGUCUUUCCCCAGAACAACUGAUAUUAUGCUCUUGAGUGAACGCAGAGUAUGAGGUCUGUUCUUGUUUUCAUCUGGCGCAUUGAGGGCCAACCCAAGGCUUCACCACUGGUGUUCAGGAAGCGCUAUUCCUUGAAGAUGUGUGUGACAGAAGACACCAAGGGCUUUAACUAAGUUCAGAUUUGGGUGUCUCCAUUUUAAACAGUGGCUCUGCUUUCUACUUUUAUUAAAUAAAAUUCCAGGAAGCAAGCAAGUGCAUCAGUAAUUUUAGAAUCCAGCUUGCCUAUGAUCAUAAGGGACUUUCAGCCUUUGGAGCAGAGCAAAGGGAUCCUUCUAACUGACAUGAUAUUUGAAGACUCUUCCCUUCAUAAAUCAUUGCUAAACCAAAAUAUUCUCAGUCCUCUCAUCUCCGAACCUGGUUUACAGACCUCACAGAAUUCAAUCUUGUCCACACAAAUUCUAGAAAAUAACACAGCCUGCAUCCGGGUGUCAGUGAGCUUAACUCUAAUAGCUUGUGGUACUUACUGAUGGUCUCAGUUUCCACGAGACUCAUUUUGUCUCUGAAAUAGAAGCUGAACUUGUUUCUGUACAGCACUGUCAAGAAGACUGAGUGUGUUCCGCACCCAGUACAUCAGUGAGCGUUAGUGAU